AAUAGUAUUUAAAAAUAAUUAUACAAAUGGCUUAGGGUUGGUUAGCGUGCUUCAGAGAAACUAUUUAUAUUUGAUCAAUCUCAUACCAUAAUAUUUUUCUUCUUUCUCUGUUUGCGGAGGAUCAUGUACAAAGACGCAAGCUCCACGCGCCGGAAGCGUGUCAUCAGAACUGAUUCCAAUUUGCCACCCUAUAAGAAGAUUAAGUUUGCUAAUAAAAGUUUUGUGGUGGGUGAUGGUGUUGAUCGGAUAAGUCAUUUGCCGGUAGAAGUUCGUAUCCAUAUAUUGUCUUUGCUAUCGCUGAAAGAAGCAGCUCGAACGAGUGUUCUUUCGUUCAGUUGGUUAAACUUGUGGAAACACACCCCCUCUCUCCAUUUUGAGGCUGACAUUGAAUCGGACGUGUCAUGGAAUGAGUUAAUCGAUAGCGCGGGGCCCAAGUACGUCAAAAUGGUGAACCGUGUUGUCGAAUCACACAAAUCACUCGCAAUAAAAGAAUUCAAAAUCAAUUUUCCUUUAGACGCAUCGUACGCUAAUUCUCCGAUCACUCGGUGGCUUGAAUUCGCAUUUUCCAGACAUGUUCAGAGGUUGGAGUUGCACCUUGAUGAUCCAGAGUUUCGUAACUAUGAUACUUGUUCUUGUUUCCCCGAACAGUUACUUGCCCGGAGCAAUAUGAUUUUGGACUUUCAGUCCCUCAAAGAAUUGUCUUUUAAGAAUGUUCAAUUGAGUGGCGGAGCUAUCUGAGUUCUUUAUACAUAACUGCACUCAGCUCGAACAAUUGAUUAUCAAUUCCCCAGGAAAAUAUGUAUCAAAGCUCGAAAUUUGUGGUUCGUCACUCGUGUUGAAACACUUGGAGAUAGUCUCUUUCGUGGGUUUGGAAUCACUUAAAAUUUCCGCGCCGAGCCUUACUUCGCUUAGGGUUACGAGUUUAAAGGGAGUUUUGCUCGAGAAUGUUCCAAUGCUGGUUGAUGUAUGUGUCGGUGGUACCUAUGACGGUCUUGAUUGUCUGAAAAAUUUAAUUCACGCACUGUCUUACUGCUUUUCUCAAUUGGAAACUCUUAAAUUGCUGAUGCCGCUGUAUCACGAUAAACAAGAAAACGACGAGCUGGCAAUUUUCCUGAAAUGCCUAAAUUGAAGAAGUUGGUUGUCGAAUAUGAUUCUUUUGAUGAUGACGACCGAUUUUUUAUGAGACUCGCUUCACUGACAAGGGCAUCUCCGCACUUGCAGGAAUUCGUUCUAAAUAACAAACAGUUUGGAAGUGGGAUAAGUCCUACACGAGUCGACGAUGAUGGUGCUACUAUAAAGUUUCGGCACGAGCACCUUAAAGUGUUCAAAUUUUGUGGGUACUAUGGCCGCCCGAGCCACAAUGCGUUAGUCGAAUACAUAUUGGAGAAUUGCGUUGUGCUUGAGAAAAUAAUAAUUGAUCCCUAUGCUUCUGAAUAUUGCCCUGACGGAUUUGAUAGAUACAUAUUAAGUGUGGAGGAAGCUGCGAGGAAGAAGGCGAAGCUACAUCUUGAACCACAUUUGCCUCACCACGUUAAAUUGAUUAUUCUUUAACUUUACGUUAUCUUAUGUUUUUGUUUUUUAUUUUUAUUUUUUAUUUGUUUUUAUGAAUUUAUAAACUUCUUGAGAAAAUAAUAAUUGAUCCAAGUCUGGUGCUAAAUGUAAUUUGAUGGAUAAUAUUGAAUAUUGAAUUUUAUAUCCCGAAAAGAUGGGCUAUGGGUGGAAAUUCGAACGAGAUUUUCAAACUAUUGAUUGCAAUCCAAAUAAAUUUUAUUUUGGAACAAUAUUUUUCGGUCUGAUUCUCGAAUGCUCCGGUUUCCAUUUUAAUCAACGAAAAUCCUAUUUUAAUUUUCGAAAAUCUAUGUAUUUUAUAUUACCGGUGACCGAACAAAAUAAAAAUUCCAAAUU